CCUACGGGACGCAGCAGUGGGGAAUAUUGGGCAAUGGGCGCAAGCCUGACCCAGCAACGCCGCGUGAAGGAAGAAGGCUUUCGGGUUGUAAACUUCUUUUAAGAGGGAAGAGUAGAAGACGGUACCUCUUGAAUAAGCCACGGCUAACUACGUGCCAGCAGCCGCGGUAAUACGUAGGUGGCAAGCGUUAUCCGGAUUUACUGGGCGUAAAGGGAGCGUAGACGGAAUUGCAAGUCUGAUGUGAAAAUCCGGGGCCCAACCCCGGAACUGCAUUGGAAACUGUAUUUCUAGAGUGUCGGAGAGGG
rnacentral:rRNA from 1 species